rnacentral:rRNA from 1 species
AAUGCUUAGAUAUCACGAAGAACUCCGAUUGCGAAGGCAGCUCACUGGACUGCAACUGACACUGAUGCUCGAAAGUGUGGGUAUCAAACAGGAUUAGAUACCCUGGUAGUCCACACAGUAAACGAUGAAUACUCGCUGUUUGCAAGGGCCAAGCGAAAGCAUUAAGUAUUCCACCUGGGGAGUACGCCGGCAACGGUGAAACUCAAAGGAAUUGACGGGGGCCCGCACAAGCGGAGGAACAUGUGGUUUAAUUCGAUGAUACGCGAGGAACCUUACCCGGGCUUAAAUUGAAGGUGCUGCAUGGUUGUCGUCAGCUCGUGCCGUGAGGUGUCGGCUUAAGUGCCAUAACGAGCGCAACCCUUAUCUUCAGUUACGACUCUGGAGAGACUGCCGUCGUAAGAUGGAGGAAGGUGGGGAUGACGUCAAAUCAGCACGGCCCUUACGUCCGGGGCUACACACGUGUUACAAUGGGGGGUACAGAAGGCAGCUACCUGGUGACAGGAUGCUAAUCCCAAAAGCCUCUCUCAGUUCGGAUCGAAGUCUGCAACCCGACUUCGUGAAGCUGGAUUCGCUAGUAAUCGCGCAUCAGCACGGCGCG